GAUGAACGCUGGCGGCGUGCUUAACACAUGCCAGUCGAACGAAGCACUUUAUUUGAUUUCCUUCGGGACUGAUUAUUUUGUGACUGAGUGGCGGACGGGUGAGUAACGCGUGGGUAACCUGCCUUGUACAGGGGGAUAACAGUUGGAAACGGCUGCUAAUACCGCAUAAGCGCACAGCAUCGCAUGAUGCAGUGUGAAAAACUCCGGUGGUAUAAGAUGGACCCGCGUUGGAUUAGCUAGUUGGUGAGGUAACGGCCCACCAAGGCGACGAUCCAUAGCCGGACUGAGAGGGUGACCGGCCACACUUGGACUGAGACACGGCCCGGACUCCUACGGGAGGCAGCAGUGGGGAAUAUUGCACAAUGGGCGAAAGCAUGAUGGAGCGACGCCGCGUGAGCGAAGAAGUAUUUCAGUAUGUAAAGCUCUAUCAGCAGGGAAGAUAAUGACGGUACCUGAAUAAGAAGCACCGGCUAAAUACGUG
rnacentral:rRNA from 1 species